CGGACUUCUAAUCAAGUAACCUGACUGUUGUAACUCACUCUAUGCUUUCCCUAGCACAAAACAGCUGACUGCACUGAAUGAUAGCGUGGACACAUAUGGAAGCACUGUAACCUAAAACCAACCCCGCCCCGAACUCAAUAAGAGCUAUUGUGCGUUGCGCCAGAGGUAGUACUGGAGAGUGUGCCGCCCGCUCUAGCUCCUUGUCUACAAGAGAGAGUUUUAGUCAAGAUAGGUUAUUUCUACUAGAUAGGUUUCUACGAUAGAGUUUUAGUCAAGAUAGGUUAUUUUCUCUAAUCAAUUAUGAAUAUAAGGUUAAC
rnacentral:lncRNA from 1 species